rnacentral:misc_RNA from 1 species
CGGGCGCUAGAAGCAAUCUUUAAUUCUGUAAUUUCCACUCUUCCAUCAUCUCUUCACAAAUCACAACUACCAUGUAAGCCCUUCAAAAUAUCUCAUUCUUCUUCGUUGCUCUCUGUGUACAGGGCAGAGACCACUACACAAAUGGCAAGGACCAGGACCGCUCAUAAUCGAAACGACAACAGGGCUGGCCCUUUCUUUUUUGCCACUCUCAUUCUGUGGUUAGUCUCUGUUUGGUUUGAGAUUCUAUUCAAUAAGCGCAGGGAGCUACUUUGGAUUAUUGCAGGAACUUUCUUGUUCCAGAUAGCCAACUGGGUCAUUCGAUUUUUCGUCUCUCGUGACCCUCUAUUUGUUAACACCUCUGUUUCUCUACUCCACUCCAUUAUCACCUCCGUUUCAGUGGUUUUCAUUUUAGUCCAUCAGUGUUUAAAAACUGGUUCAGAUGGGUUGUUUGAGCAUUCACAACUGGUUGGAGGUACAUGGGAAUUGGCAUACCCCACUUUGUGUUUCUCGUGUGGUUAUUUUGCAUAUGAUCAGUUGGAUAUGCUGCUGUACCGAUUAUACAGUGGCUUGAUCCCUUCCAUCCUCAUGCACCAUCUGAUACUUCUCAUUUGCUUUACACUGGCUCUGUAUCGAAAUGCCACAGUCAACUACCUUAUUCUCACUCUGAUUUGUGAGGUACGUCUCAUGGAGUCUUUUCUCCAUCUAAAUGUAAUUUUUUUUUUAAAAUAUCAAUACAUGAUUGUUCAAGUCUCACGCAUUUUUCCUUUCACUCAAGUUCAGAAAAGUUUUCUUUUCUGUAAUGGUCAAAAUGUUUAGGAGCAGGCUUAGUGAAAUAGGGCUGCUCCCCUUAGAUAUGGAAAAUUAUAUGCCUUUUAGGUGAGGUUCAUCAUUCAUGUUUUAGAUGAUGAACAAAACAUUAUUUCAACAAACAAAUUUAAAGUAAGGGAUAACUCGUAUGAUAUUGUGAAUAUUAGGUAUAUGAUAUCAUAUAUAUCCACCAUCAUUAUAAGCAAGCCCAAAGCUGUAAUGUGUAAGCUUCAUUUGUAUCUGAAAUCAUUCUCACAAGUCACAACAAUAGUGGGAUUUCAUUUAGAUGUUUGCAACUCAAGAAAUUUUCUCAGGGAAAAGGGUAUCAGACCCUCACAAAUACCUUUCACUUGGUGCAAUUGGUGUAACUUUGACUUGGUUUUAGACCACCUUUGUGAAGCUUGAAAUUAAAUGCUGAAAUUUUGAAAUUAAUCAAUCUCAGGCGAAUAGUGAAAAUUACAUUAAAUCUUGAUUCGUAAUGGCUAUUUAUUUCAAAGGAAACAAAAUUUUCUAUUGGUUAAAGUGUGGGACUUGUGCUUUGAUAGGGUUUUUAUGUUGCAUAUAUGUGAUUGAGAAAAUCUAAGCUACCAAGGUUCUAUUUCUUCUUUUCAUACUGUUGUGCUACGAAAGGGGAUAAAUCCUGGAAGGCAUGUCCUUAUUCUUGCUAUCAACAUUUUAAAGGAGAGGCCAAAUUGAGCUUAAUGGCUGAAGGUCUUUCUUCUACAUUUUCUUUAUUGAUUUUCAUCUUUUCUGGAGGAAUUGUAGCUGUAACCUGUAGGUAGACUCUUCGGAAUGGUGUGAGAACCAGUCAAUGGUACAAUUUUACAAUUCUAAAGUUCUUUUCAUAUUACAGCUGCAUUCAAUCUUCCUACAUGUUAGGAAAGUGCGACGGAUGGCUGGUGUUCGGGAUGCUAAGAGCAAAAUUGUGAAGUUAGAAUGGUUUCUUAAUUGGGUCACUUUCAUUUUCGCAAGAUCUAUGUCUCACAUUCUCAUCACCAUCAAGCUAAUCCGAGAUGCUUCCAAGUUUGAAAGGGGUGUGCAGUUGCCACUUGCUUUGUUUGGGAUGGCUGGAAUGAAUUUGCUCAAUGUUGGUCUUGGCAUUGAUCUUUUUAAUGCAUUCAAAAGAGAGAGAAAUCCUCAUAAAAGUAGUCAUAAUCAUGGUGAAUGACCCCGAGAAUGAGGGGCAAAAGGAGUGUGUAUCUGAUUUUUUGUUUCCUGGAAAUUUUUUAAUUUAGAUUGUUUGAAUGUUGGGGUUGCAGUUGCCUUUAGCCCACUGUAAUAUCCUCUGAUGAAAGCAACUAGCUUUGUAAAUUGUGAGCAAAGGGAACAUGAUUGUUUUCCAACAAUCUGUUGUAAUGAGUUUUAUGCAGUAAUGAGAUUCAUUGCCUCCAAUUUCA